rnacentral:rRNA from 1 species
UGCAAGUCGAACGAUGAAGCUGGAGCUUGCUCCGGCCGAUUAGUGGCGAACGGGUGAGUAACACGUGAGCAAUCUGCCCUUGACUCUGGGAUAACUGCGGGAAACUGUAGCUAAUACCGGAUACUUUCCUCGCUGGGCAUCCAGCGGGGAAGAAAGAAUUUCGGUCAAGGAUGAGCUCGCGGCCUAUCAGCUAGUUGGUGAGGUAAAGGCUCACCAAGGCGACGACGGGUAGCCGGCCUGAGAGGGUGACCGGCCACACUGGAACUGAGACACGGUCCAGACUCCUACGGGAGGCAGCAGUGGGGAAUAUUGCACAAUGGGCGAAAGCCUGAUGCAGCAACGCCGCGUGAGGGAUGAAGGCCUUCGGGUUGUAAACCUCUUUUAGCAGGGAAGAAGCGAAAGUGACGGUACCUGCAGAAAAAGCACCGGCUAACUACGUGCCAGCAGCCGCGGUAAUACGUAGGGUGCAAGCGUUGUCCGGAAUUAUUGGGCGUAAAGAGCUCGUAGGCGGUUUGUCACGUCUGCUGUGAAAAUCCGAGGCUCAACCUCAGACUUGCAGUGGGUACGGGCAGGCUAGAGUGCGGUAGGGGAGAAGGGAAUUCCUGGUGUAGCGGUGGAAUGCGCAGAUAUCAGGAGGAACACCAAUGGCGAAGGCACUUCUCUGGGCCGUAACUGACGCUGAGGAGCGAAAGCGUGGGGAGCGAACAGGAUUAGAUAC